CCUACAUUCUUCUUCCUUCUAUUCCUUCAUCUUCUCUCUCUAGCUCUCUCUCUCUCUCUAUCUCUAGAAUUAUUUUGGUGAAUGGGAAAAUAAAGAUGAAGUGACGAAGGAGUGGUGAAAAGGGUCCUUAUUUAUAGAAAAAGGGAACUGCUGGAUUUCUGCCAAGUGGUGCAAAUAGGUGAGGAGAGAGAUAGACUGAUGCAACGCGAUGCAACGACUAAUGGUCGUGACUGAUAGAUAGCCGACGAGACAUGACGAUGUGAUGGAGGUAUAAAAAUUGGAGACACGUCAACCGAGGAACAAUGCAUGCCUCCCAAACGGCAGCAGUGAACGUUCCAAGGUUAUCGCGAAAACAGGGAAAAAUUUCUCGCGACCUUUUCGUGGGAUUUCUCCACUGUUUUCCUUCUUUGUUUUUCCUAAAAUUU
rnacentral:lncRNA from 1 species